rnacentral:rRNA from 1 species
CCUACGGGAGGCAGCAGUGGGGAAUCUUGGACAAUGGGCGCAAGCCUGAUCCAGCAAUGCCGCGUGGGUGAAGAAGGCCUGCGGGUUGUAAAGCCCUUUCGGUGGGGAGGAACGGUCUGGUGCUAAUAUCGCUGGGCGUUGCCGUUACCCACAGAAGAAGCACCGGCCAACUCCGUGCCAGCAGCCGCGGUAAUACGGAGGGUGCGAGCGUUAAUCGGAAUUACUGGGCGUAAAGGGCGCGUAGGUGGUGCGUUGAGUCAGCUGUGAAAGCCCUGGGCUUAACCUGGGAAUGGCAGUUGAUACUGCUCAGCUUGAGGACAGUUGAGGAGAAUGGAAUUCCCGGUGGAGCGGUGAAAUGCGUAGAUAUCGGGAGGAACACCAGAGGCGUAGGCGAUUCUCUAAGCUGCUCCUGACACUGAGACACGAAAGCUAGGGGAGCAAACGGGAUUAGAUACCCCGGUAGUCCUAGCCGUAAACGAUGGACGCUAGAUGUUCCUGCGUUUAUGCGGGAGUGUCGAAGCUAACGCGUUAAGCGUCCCGCCUGGGGAGUACGGUCGCAAGGCUGAAACUUAAAGGAAUUGACG